rnacentral:lncRNA from 1 species
GGCUGCAGCGGCAGCAGUUGGAGCAUCUCACUGCGGGGCUCGGGAAGGAGGAAAGGAGUGAGCAUGUCCUGCUCCUGCAUGUCCCUGCUUAAGCUCAGGACUGGCCCUUCCAGGCCAAGGACCCCAGCAUAGACCCCAGGACAGGGCCCCAAGGAUCCCUGGCUCAUGAGAGCGGCUUGCUGGGCUGCCCCAAGAGAGCCUGAAGGAAACACAUUGUUGAGCUGAGCUGACGUCGCUGUUUCUUCCAGACUGCUCUCUAAAGUGGGCAGCAAUGUGAUCUCAGUUAAAGUCUGCAAGACACUCGGUUCCAGAUAAGCACAGCAUGUCAUUAGCAGCACUGGUAGCGACCGGCCGGCUCCGAUGGUGACGUCCCACUGCCAAGGGGUGGGAGUGGGGAGAGUCUCCACAGAGCUUCGGAGAAGCUGCUAAGAUGGAAAAGUGGAAACUUGGCAGACAGAUCCAGCCUCCCUGGCCACUGGCCCAUGCUCGUGGCUCCUGGAUGGCGCUGCCACGUUCUGAGCAGCUUGGGACAGGUGGAGAUCAGGACUGGCAGCUGCAAGGACACACCAGAGCCACAGAAACUAAAGAGAAUUUCCAAAAGGAGUCUAUGGUGAAGUCUCUGAGGAUGCAAAGAAGACAAGGAGAAUGAAAAUCCAAUGAAAGCCUGAUUGUAUUUGUUGACCUUAAGGAAAGUGAUUUUAUGGUACAGCCUCUCUGGAAGGGAGGGUGUGUUCGCUCACAGAAUGCAAAUACCCUUUGACCCCCUAAUCUUUCUUCUAGGAGUUUCUCCUACAGAUAAACUUAGAAGGGUGCUCAAAUAAGUAAGUUCAAGGAUAUCCUCUGAAGCAUUGCCGUAGUAUAAAAAAAGCACAGAUACCCUCAAAGGACAUCAUUAGGGGCCUGGUAAAAUAAAUUCCACACAGUGGAACACCGUGUAGCUCUUUAGAGAAUAAACAGCUCUCUAUAUGUGAUCUGGA